rnacentral:lncRNA from 1 species
GAACACACGGAGCAAGAGGCCUUAAUGAGCGGCAGGAGGACUGCGAGCUAGCCGGAAAGCUCGCCUCUCCUUCCUCCUGGUUUUAGAGGAUUCUCUAAUAAGGGGAUAACUGGGAGAAAAAGGAGAGAAACUCAACUCAGGGUAACAGCAGGAGUCCCCCAGCGAUCUUCUAAGCAGCUUCCCCAGAAGGCCUCCAGCCAGCCAUUCGUGGGACCGGAAGACUUAAUGAGCACAGCCCUCCCUGCCUGUGGAGCUGAACACCACUAAAGCCGCCUUCACUCGGGUCCCUCUGCCCUCGGAGAUCAGCCGGCCACUCCGAGAAAGCAGAAAACGGAGGAAUUCUUAGCAGCCUUGUCCCAGCUGUCGCUUGAUGAGAUAAAUAUAUCCACUUUGUCUUAUGGAAGGGGGUCACUGAAAUGUAGGUAGCUCAAGAUGCUAACAAGAUGAACUUGAAUUUAGUUUCUAGAACAAAUGUGCUGAAAUCAUGCACCUCCACACCCUCUUUAUACAGUGCUAGAAAGAGAACUCAGGGCUUCAUCCUCUAUAGCUGAGCUCCAUCUCUAACCCUGAAUGAAAGAUUCUAUUGCACCAGUCCACAAAGAAAUCACAAGAACAGGCGGCUGCCACUCCCAAAUGUGGACCAGCACCUCAAGAUGACCUACCAAAGUCCUGGCCAAACAGAAAAUUUCCGGCAUCUUUAUCUGAGCAUAGGAUGUCUGUAGGAGCUUCCAUGACCACAUGCUGUCACUGAAGAGGGUCAAGAGAGUGAAUGACCAUAAGUUACUUACAACCAAUAGGGGAAGAAGCUGACAGAGCAUCAGACAUGGAGGUCAAUUUGAAAGGACUCCCACUAACAAAAACAGAAAAAGAAAAUCUAUCAUAGAAGAAAUUACAUCACAGCCAGGCAAGAUUCAGCAGGAGCAGUUCACCAUUGCUCCACAUGGUGGCAGCUGAGUGGCUUGAUCGCAAGGACUCCUGGGUUCAUUUCCAAGAUGGCUCCUUCCCAGGAACGACAAAUGGAUGCUGAGCCAUCGGCUGAGGCUGCUUCUUCAUAGGUGUCUCUUGGGCUCCCUCAAAGAGACAAAACGGGAUUCCAAGAGACAGAAAGGGGUGAUAUCACACACCUGAGAUGUAAGGGGUUAAAUCCCAUAUCCUGAGGAGGAAAGCUCCAAACAGACUCGAAGGGGCAAUGAAAUGACUUCGCCUCCCCAGGCAGAGUGACAAAGAAUGUCCAUCUGUCUUUAAUCCAUUCUCUCUUUUCUAUUGUUCAUUUCUCUAUGUUCUAUUGUUUUUAACAAAGGUUGAUCCAGAUGUGUAUUUCUUUGCCAGAAGUGGUGGCAAGACAGGUGCAAGCCUGUGAAAAUGGCAUUCAGUGUUAGGAAGUGGUUCAGAGAUGAUGUCUUCUAUAGGGACAGAAGUUAUUCAGUUCUGAUACAACCAUAUGAAAAUUUUAUGGCACAAAUUUUCCAUUAGAAGCUAAAAAAUUUGGCGUUUUGUAUUAAACCUAAGUUAUUGGCUCA